AACGAACGCUGGCGGCAGGCUUAACACAUGCAAGUCGAGCGCCCCGCAAGGGGAGCGGCAGACGGGUGAGUAACGCGUGGGAAUCUACCCAUCUCUACGGAAUAACGCAUGGAAACGUGUGCUAAUACCGUAUACGUCCUUCGGGAGAAAGAUUUAUCGGAAUUGGAUGAGCCCGUGUUGGAUUAGCUAGUUGGUGGGGUAAUGGCCUACCAAGGGGACGAUCCAUAGCUGGUCUGAGAGGAUGAUCAGGCACACUGGGACUGAGACACGGCCCAGACUCCUACGGGAGGCAGCAGUGGGGAAUAUUGGACAAUGGGCGCAAGCCUGAUCCAGCCAUGCCGCGUGAGUGAUGAAGGCCUUAGGGUUGUAAAGCUCUUUCAGUAGGGACGAUAAUGACGGUACCUACAGAAGAAGCCCCGGCUAACUUCGUGCCAGCCGCCGCCGUAAGAC
rnacentral:rRNA from 1 species